rnacentral:tRNA from 1 species
UCCGAUAUGGUGUAACGGCUAACAUCGCCGCCUUUCAUCUACUGAAAGCAAAGAUCCGCGGCAGCUCGGGGUUCGAUUCCCCGUAUCGGAG